GCCGAGCGGUAGAGAUCUUCGGAUCUUUGAGAGCGGCGCACGGGUGCGGAACACGUGUGCAACCUACCUUUAUCAGGGGGAUAGCCUUUCGAAAGGAAGAUUAAUACCCCAUAAUAUAUUGAAUGGCAUCAUUUAAUAUUGAAAACUCCGGUGGAUAGAGAUGGGCACGCGCAAGAUUAGAUAGUUGGUGAGGUAACGGCUCACCAAGUCAAUGAUCUUUAGGGGGCCUGAGAGGGUGAUCCCCCACACUGGUACUGAGACACGGACCAGACUCCUACGGGAGGCAGCAGUGAGGAAUAUUGGACAAUGGGUGAGAGCCUGAUCCAGCCAUCCCGCGUGAAGGACGACGGCCCUAUGGGUUGUAAACUUCUUUUGUAUAGGGAUAAACCUUUCCACGUGUGGAAAGCUGAAGGUACUAUACGAAUAAGCACCGGCUAACUCCGUGCCAGCAGCCGCGGUAAUACGGAGGGUGCAAGCGUUAUCCGGAUUUAUUGGGUUUAAAGGGUCCGUAGGCGGACUCGUAAGUCAGUGGUGAAAUCUCAUAGCUUAACUAUGAAACUGCCAUUGAUACUGCGGGUCUUGAGUAAGGUAGAGGUAGCUGGAAUAAGUAGUGUAGCGGUGAAAUGCAUAGAUAUUACUUAGAACACCAAUUGCNGAGGCAGGUUACCAUGUCUUAACUGACGCUGAUGG
rnacentral:rRNA from 1 species